CCAGAAGAGGUGCACAUACAUCACAAGCUGCAAGAGAGUAGCAGGUGAGUCCAGGGUGAAAGGCUGGAAAUUUUGCAUUUGAUUUUAAUGUGAAGGGGAUCUGGAAACAUCAUGCCAAGAAUGAGCUCAUCAGGUCAUGCUGGUUCUAUUGUCUGCCCAUCUCAGCUCUAAGGACAGCAGGUGUGUUUGAAGAUUGAUGUAAUGUUUUUGUUCCACAUGGUCCAGUGCCCUCGGCAUUACUAGAAACAGUCCAUCUGAGUAAAAUUAAUUAGCAAAUAUGCAAAGAUUGACUAAUGUUAAUGGUCAGAGGAAUCAGAAUAAAAUAUACUUACUUGUACUUGCAAGGGAAUUUUGAAGUUAUAUUGAAAUAAAGGAAAAAACAGUAUUUUUUUUGGUUGUUAUUUAGGCUGGCCUUGAGCUUUCAGCAAUCCUUUUGUGUGUGUGGCAGAUUAUAGACAUGUGCCAUCACACCUGGCCCUUUUUUUUUGUUUGUUUCCAGACAGGAUCUGGUUUAGUUGCUCACAGUGGUGUAGAACUCAUGGUUGUGUGGCCUCAAAGUAUUGAGUAGAGGAGACUAUGAGAUUGUGGCUUUGCACACACCUCCCCCUGCAAGCUUGCUCCUGUUUUUUGUUUUUUGUUGUUAUUGUUUUGAGACAGGGUCUCACUAUGCAGUUCAGGCCGGCCUUCACCUCACUUUGUAGCCCAGGCUGGUCUCCAUCUUGCAAGGAUCCUUCUGUCUCAGCCUCUGAAGUGCUGGGAUCAUAGGCAUGUGCCUAUACCCAGCAAACCUGCUACUUUUAAUUGCUCAUGUUUUUUUUGGUACUGGGAAUUAAACUCAGCCUUGUGCUUGCCAGGUAGGUGCUGUGCCACUGAGCUAUAUCCCUAGCCCAGCUGCUCACUUUCUUUUUUUUUUUUUUUUGUCUUUUUCCUUUUUAUCUGUACCAGGGAUCGAACUCAUGACUGCCUGCUUUCAAGGCAAGCGCUUAUGCCACUGAGCUAAAGCCCCAGCCCCUAACUUUCGAAACUCUAGAAAGGCUAAAUAUUUCAAAUAAGAAUGUAGCUUUCCCACUAUAAAGAUAGUAGCAUCAAAUAACUUUACAGAUGUAACAAAGGCUAUAAUUUGAAUGCAUCUUCUAAUAGAAACAUUCUGAUCCAGAUCUGCCCUGGAAUCUCCAUAACUGACAGGUCAUGACCCUUGGCCAGCCAGCUGGCCACACGCUAAUCUCCUAUCUCAUUGGUCAACCUCAACUACAUAGAGAGAUCCUGUCUCUAGGGAUAAAUAAAUAGAGCCAGGGAUGUAGCUCAGCACUGCAGUGCCUGCCUGGUAAACAUGAGGCCCUGAGUUCGAUGCCCAGUACCAAAAAAGAAAACAGUAAAAAAAAAGAAAAAAGCCUCUUAAUUAAAUAAAUAACUAGGAAUGUUCUGAUCUAGAACCAGCAGAGCAUAUUUGCAGGAAAACUAUUUUGAGUGUACUGGUUUCUCCUUACUGCUCACAGUGAGAAAUACAAGAAGACACAGAUAAAUACUGAAGGAAAUGGGGCUGGGGGUUUAGCUCAGCGGUGUAAGCACCUGCCUUACAAGCAGGCAGUCAUGAGUUCAAUCCCUGGUACCGAUGAAAACGAAAAAGACCAAAAAAGAAAAAAAAAAAAAAAAUUGAAGAAAUUGAGCCAGGCGAGAUGGCGCAUACCUAUAAUCCCAGCACUCUGGUGACUGAGUUUGAGGCCAGCUUGGGCUACAUAAACAAGUUCAAGGCUAGCCUGAAUUGCAAAGUGAGACCCUGUCUUAAACAAACAAACAAAAAGAAUUGAACCCAGUAGGAAUUGAACCCAGUGCUUCUGUGCUGAGGCAGCUCCCAAGUCCUUUUUAGCUUUUAUUUAUUGAGACAAGGUCUUCCUAAAUUUACUGAGCAGAUUAACACACUGCAGUCUCAAAGAAUCCACAAUAAAGCUACCAGGACUAAAUGAAUUCAGCAAAUUUGCAUGUUAGAAGAUUACCACCCAAAAUCAUUUGUCAUUUUGGGGGUAUAGCUUAGUGGCAGAAUACUUGCCUAGCAAGCUUGAGGCCUAGGUUCCAUCCCCAGGACUGAAAAACAAACACCCCAAAGCAAAAUUGUUGUAUAUCUGAGUAUCAGCAAUGAAAUAAUUCAAACAGGAAGUUAAGAAAGCUGUUUCACUUACAAUAACAUCUAAAAAAAAUCUAGAAAUAAAUUUACAAGAUGGUAAAGGGGUGGUAUGCUGAAAACUAUAAUACAUUCCUGAAGGACAUCAAACAAGAGCUAGGCAGAGUAGCACACACCUGGAAUUCUAGCAUUUAAGGAGGUUGAGACAAGAGGAUCACAAAUUCAAGUCCCUGCCUAGGGAAAUUAGUAAGAUGCUGUCUCAAAAUUUUAUAUAUAUAUAUGUAUAUAUAUAGUAUGGAGCCAGGCAUGAUGGCACACACCUAUAAUCCCAGCACUCAGGAGGCUGAGACAGGAGGAUCAUGGCAAGUUCAAAGCCAGCGUGGGUUACAAAAUGAACUCAAGGCCAACCUGAACUGCAUAGUGAGACUCUGUCUUAAAAAGACCAAAAAAUAAGUCAGGUGUGGUGGCUCAUGCCUGUAAUCCCAGCACUCAAGAGGCUGAAGCAGGAGGACAGUUGCAAGUUCGAGACCAGCCUGGGCUACAGAGUGAGCUCAAGACCAGCCUGAACUGCAUAGGGAGACCCUGUCUCAAAAAGACAAAAAAAUAAAAAUAAAAAUAAAGGAUUAGGAAUGUAGCUCUGUUGUAGAAUUCUUGGAUCCCUAGUACAGAAACAAAUAAAUAAAUGAAAACCUUGAAAAAAUGCAAAGAUCUUCUGUGUUCAUGGACUGAAAGCUUUAAUAUUACUAAUAUGACAGUAUCAUCUAUAAUUCUUAAAAAUCUUGUAAUUUAGGGGCCGGGGGUUUAGUUCAGCAGUGUAAGUGCCUGCUUGGCAAACGUGAGGUUGUGAGUUCGAUCUGUAAUUUCCAUGUGGCAAGUUCCUUUUUUGUUUUGUUUUGUUCAUUUGCUCUUUUUUGAGGCAGGGUUUCAUUAUAUGGUUCAAGCAUUAAACUCACUUUGUAGCCCAGUCCUAACUUGCAGACAUCCUCCUGCCUCAGCCUCCCACGUGCUGGAAUGACAGGUGUGUGUUCCAUCGUGUUCAGCUUUUUGUUGUUGUUGUUGUUGUUAUUCAUAACAAGCCCUUUACAGAUAUACCUAAGUUUAUAUUAGGGAGGUAAAUUUUAGAAAGUCCCUAGACAACCAUAGGAGCUCAUUACCAGGGGGAACCAACCACAUGACUAGAUGUUAGAGCUUUCAGUCCAACUCUUGGACUUUCAGGAAGAAUGGGGUCAAAGUCUGAAUUGAUCAUUGAUGGCCAAAGAUAGAACCAAGCAUGCUUCUUAGUUUAAAUAUGAAGCAUCCCCUGAGACUCACAGACUGGGGACCAGACCCCACUGUAUUCAGAGGGUUAGACUGUGAGCUGACUGACUUCAGCAAUAGACUGACCGAUUGAGCUCAUGGCCAAGCAGGUUCUUACAAGGUAAGGCCUACUUGGAGGGGACCAGUCAAAGAAGGUGAGGCUUGAAAGGUGCAUUCCAGUCCAGGCCUCUGGAUUCUCUGACUUCUAUUCUCCGUGCUUCCUGGCUGCCACGAGGUGAGCAAUUUCCUCUGCAAAGCCCUUUCAUACUGAUAUAUCUGAUGCAGAACCAGUGAGGAGUGAAACUUCUGAAAACAUGAGCCAAAAUAACCUUUCCUACUUUAAACUGUGUGUGUCAGGGAUUUGGUCACAGCAAGGAAAAGCUGAUUAAUACAAUGUCUAUGUGCUGGAGCCUCUAUCAAAACCCCAACAGGACAGAGUUUAAAGAGCUCCCAAAUCGGUGAAUAAGAACACAGCAGCAGCUGCAAGGUAGAACACUCCAAAUCCAUGAUGCCUGAGGCUCCUGUGUUAAAGGUCUCUCUAGACUUCACCCUCCCUGCUUACCUCUUCAUCUGGAUGUUCAUUUGUGUAUGUAUGUAUGUAUGUAUGUAUGUAUGUAUUUAUUGGGGGGUUUUGGAGACAGAGUCUCACUGUGUAGUGCAGCCUGGCCUUGAAAUCACUUAUGUAGCCCAGACUGACCUCAAGCUCACAGCAAUCCUCCUGAUUCAGCUUCCUGAGUGCUGGAUUAUAGGCAUUCACCAUGGCCAGCCAUCUGUGUGUUUGUAGUAAGCAGAGCAUGUUAGGGCACAGCUGUAAUCCCAGCACUCAGGAGGCUGAGGUAGGAGGAUUACCUAGAGUGUAAGGCCAGUUUGGGCAACAGUGAGAUCAAGCCCAGCCUGAACUACCUAACAGACCCUGACUCAAAAAAAUAAAAUCAAUAAGAAUCUUUUUUUUUUUUUUUUUUUUUUUUUGGUAUUGGGGAUUGAACUCACAACCUCAUGCUUGCCAUGAGCAGGCACUUAUGCCACUGAGCUAAACCCCCAGCCCAAGAAUCUUUUUUAAUAAAUGGAUAAAUGGGGAAAGAAAGCAACCCAUUCACCUCCCUGGUAAGCAGCUGUGGCUCAAGCAAGCUGCGAGCACCCCAGGGGGAGAACCAGCCAGCGUCUCAUGAGAUCCAUGCCAUGUUGGAACUUAUGGCACUGGGAAACAAAGAAUCUGCUCACCUCCCUGGUAAGCACCUGUGAGCCUACCGGUGUGUGGGCUGAGAAUCAAACAUCCCAUCCUUCUCUCCCCCCCAUCCCCGUUAGCAAAUGGGAGCCAGAUGUCUGAGCAUCUCUUGGGAGGAUGACUAUAUGCAAUAUAGCAAAUAUGGGGGAUUUCUUUCUACCAUCUCUUUGAAGGCAAAUAUUGUUAUCACUGUUUUGCUUUGUUCUGAUUAUUUGUAUUGCUCUAUUCAAUAUUCUGUUUUGAUAAAUUCUAUAAUAUUCUGUGUUUGGUUUGAUUUUGCUAUACCUGAUUGAAUGGACAACUAUUGUGAAGGACUAGAGAGCACUCACGGGUCUGGAACCCCCCGGCCAAUCGGCCUGGGUGGUUGGGAAGCCAGACUCGAAGAAACUGCUGGGCUAAAGCCAGCCCAGUUUGUCAUUUUCUAGGCUGUUUAAUGCUGUUGUUAUUGUUGAUUGUACUACAUUAGCCAAGGUGACAUAACUGUUCUAAUCAGCUGUUCUUCAUAGUAUGCCAAGACUGAGACUGCCUAAGGGUCAUAAGCAAUACUGCAAGCCAGUGCCAAAGAAACAGGGGCUGGGACAAAUAGGCAGCAACUUCUCAUCCCCAGUAAACUGAGAAGAUUGGAUCUCACAACAGACUCAAAACCCAAAGGCCAGCUAUACCUGGAAGAUACUUCUGAGGUGUAGUUAUUUCCUAAGCAUUGUAAAGACUAGCAAUAAAGCUACUUCCAUAAGCAAUUUGCAAUCCUUGACACUGGAAUUAAACUAAAAGAAAUGGAAUAUAAAAAUGAAAUCUUCAUUUAUUUUGCCUAUUAUGGAUUAAGAACUGGUGGUCAACUUAACGCCAGCUGGAUUACAUCAGCAUGGUGCUGAGUGUAGAUGUUCCACCUGAGGAAAGUUGCCAGCAUAAAUAGAGACAUGGAGAAGGAGAAACUAUUGCAAUGAGGCGUUGAAACAUUUUAUGUUCUCUAUGUGUUGUUCUUUGAGCCAUUAGGUUCUCCUAUAGAAGCUUUGGUCCUCACAUUGAGCAUUGCUUCCUGGCUCCUGAGGGAAAGACAUGUGCCACUUGGUCUCUAGGAUGAACUUGUCACACUGGCUUCCUGGCACAUACUUGACUGUGCUUGUUGUUGGAGGAGCUCGGGGCCUGCAGGUCAUUGAGGAUGGCUGUGGUGCUUUUCAGGACAGCCCUGAUCUUUGUUGUGAAAUGUGACUUCUCAGCUCCAGCUUAAAACCCUCAACCUAUCAGGACAGGUCCUUCACCCUGCUGGCAUGGAUUUCUUAGCUUCCACCAUUGCUCUUUGGGCCUUCCCAGCACAGAUCUGUAAAAGAGACUGGCAUGAGUCCUUGUGGGCUCUAGGCCUCCAGUUGGACUCAUGGGAAGAGGCAUUGUCACGAGCUCUGGGUCUUCAUCUGGACUCAUGUGGGACAUUGCUGUGGGAUUCAGGGCCUUGGCUGAAUAUUCUAUGUCUUUGGUGCUGUGGAUAGAUUUCCUGCAUUUUGUUGUGUUAACUCUGGGUGACCAUCAUAAAAAUAAUAUUAUAAACUCCAUGUUCUGAUUCUAAUUGUUCUCUGCACAGCCCCUGACUACAACCAUCACCCCUUUGUUUAUUUGAUCCCUGCAAAAACCAGAUGGAUGGUGGAGGAGGACAGUGAACAACUGCAAACUCAAACACAGCUAGAGCUAAUUAACAGGGCCUCAAGUGUGUAUAUAUUCAGCCGUUGCCCUUGGCAAACACUGUUUUCCAUUUUUGGGGGGCCAGAGAUUAAACUUACGACCUCACAUUUGCCAAGCAGGCACUACGCCACUGACCUAAAACCCUGGCCCAACACUUUUUCUUAUUCCUAUCAGAAAGGAGAUGCUGGGGUUCAGGAUGAGACUCUAGGGGACCAGAA